rnacentral:lncRNA from 1 species
AUGAGUUGCCCAGAGUCUAUGCAGGAGGCAAUGGAGGUGAUGUUCAAGACAGAGGUGGAGGCUGGAGCCAGUGGCUACAGCGUCACAGGUGGUGGAGACCAGGGGAUCUUCGUCCAGCAAGUGCUGAAGGACUCCUCAGCAGCCAAGCUCUUCAGCCUGAGAGAAGGUGACCAGCUGCUCAGUGCCACCAUAUUCUUUGAUGACAUUAAAUACGAGGAUGCGCUCAAGAUCCUGCAGUACUCAGAGCCAUACAAGGUGCAGUUCCAGAUCAAACGGCAGCUCUGUGCCACUGAGGGCCAGCAGGAUGAAGAGGCUGUGGUCCGGGGUACAGAGACGCCCACGAAGGCCCCGGGGCAGGGUGGAGACCAGGAAAAGCUCACUGCCAAGCCCAGGGGGGCCCGAGGCAGGAAGCCCCGGGAGCGGCUCUCCUGGCCUAGGCUCCAAGGCCUGAGGGGCACGCAGGGGGCGGGGCCCCGGCGCGCACACAGCUCCUCGGAGGCCCACGAGCGUGGGGGCGGACAGGAAGUGUCCCCCACCAGCACGGACCCGGAGUUCCAGCUCCCAGUGGAGCAUGGAGAGCAGACGGCAUGGACAGCCGGUCAGAAGAGGAGGAGGAGGUUUCUCAACCUGAGGCUCAAGGUGGGCUCCAGGCUGGACCCAUCAGUCACAGGACAUCCAGACAGAGAGGCACUCGGGGGACUGGACACGGCCAGGGUGCUGGAAGAGAAGCCGGAGGAUACAGAGGCUGCUCCAAGUGGCAGGAGCCAGGAGAGGGCACGGGUGAGAGAGGCCAGGCAGGCGCUGACCACGCAGGAGACCAUGGAGCUCAGCUUCCCUGGACAAGGAGGAGAAGACACAGCCAGGCAACAAAGGAAGAUGAAGCAGGUGAAGGCCAGGGAGGAGGCAACCACCCAGAGGGAAACCAGAGCCUCACCAGCCCUGGUGGGGAGCAAGGACGAAGAAUGGGAGGAGCUGCAAAGCCUUGAAAAUGGGACCACGACCAUGUCCCCCCAAGAUGCAACAGUCACAGAAGGGCCACAGAGACGACCCCAAGAAAUCCAGGUGCAAAUAGGUGAACUAAAGACACCCAAAUUUACAUUUUCCAUGGAAAAAGUGCAGGAGAUUGGAGAUGAGAUAGGCAGAGGGCUGCAGCAGAGCAGGCCAAUGACAUUCCGAGCCCAAUGGGGACACGAGGCUGAGAGAGAAAAUAAAACCGAUACAGUGGGGAACACUAGGCCAGCACCAGAAGGGACAGGACCAGGAAAAGACCAACAGGAUGAGGUGUCCAAGCCGAGGGGAAAACAGGAAGGCCAGGGAGAAGAGAUAGAGAAGGAAAGGGGGGAAGAAAAGUGGAAAUUAUCCAUGUUAAAAAUCCCGGAAUUUGGGAGGUCAGCAAAACACGAAGUAAAAACACAGAGAGCAAAACACACGAUAGGAAAACGAAAAGAAAGGAAAACAUGGAAAGACAAAGAGGAGACAAUAGAGGGCCAAAGGUUAGACCACAAGGACCCCCAGGUGGACAUCGAAAGUUCCAGACUACAGGUGAAAGACGCGAAGGUCGAGAUCAGGGAACCCGAGGUUGAACUGUCGCUGUCUAGCGCGGAGGUGGACAUCCAGGCUCCUGGUGGCAACCUGCAGGGUGAGGUGGCAGCCAAAGACAGUAAGUUCAAGAUGCCCUCCUUCGCCAUGUCAGCUCCCAGCAAGUCCAUGGAGGCCUCUCUCCAGGUGUGCAGGCCAAAGGCAGAGGCUGACGUAGACAGACCCGCGAUCCAGGGUGACCUGAAGACCCCGAAGGUCAGCAUGCAGCUGCCCUCUGCUGACCUGGACCUGCAGGCCGGCCAGGUGGGGGUGAAGCUCGCCCAGGGCACGCUGACCGAGGCAGAGCUCCCCGCCGUGGGUACAGGCCUGAAAGGUCACCUACCCAAGGUGCAGAUGCCCAGCAUCAAGGUGCCCAAAGUGGAACUAAAGGGCCCCCAGGUGGACAUCAAGGGCCUCAGAGUGCAGGACAAAGUUGCCACAGGUGAGAUUGGAGCCCCUGAGCUGGAAGUGUCGCUCCCCAGCGUGGAGGUGGACGUCCAGGCUCCUGGUGGCAAGCUGCAGGGCGAGGUGGUGGGCAAAGACAGCAAGUUCAAGAUGCCCAAGUUCAAGAUGCCCUCCUUCGGCGUGACGGCACCCGGCAAGUCCAUGGAGGCCUCUCUCGAGGUGUCCAUGCCAAAGUUGGAGGCUGAUGUGGACAAAGCCGAGAUGCAGGGUGAUCUCAAGACCCCGAAAGUCAAAGUUCAGCUGCCAUCCGCUGACGUGGACCUGCAGGCCGGCCAAGUGGGGGUGAAGCUCGCCCAGGGCACGCUGACCGAGGCAGAGCUCCCCGCCGUGGGUACAGGCCUGAAAGGUCACCUACCCAAGGUGCAGAUGCCCAGCAUCAAGGUGCCCAAAGUGGAACUAAAGGGCCCCCAGGUGGACAUCAAGGGCCCCCAAAUGGAGGACAAAGUUGCCACAGGUGAGAUUGGAGCCCCUGAGCUGGAAGUGUCACACCCCAGCGUGGAGGUGGACGUCCAGGCUCCUGGUGGCAAGCUGCAGGGCGAGGUGGUGGGCAAAGACAGCAAGUUCAAGAUGCCCAAGUUCAAGAUGCCCUCCUUCGGUGUGUCGGCUCCUGGCAAGUCCAUGGAGGCCUCUCCCGAGGUGUCCAUGCCAAAGUUGGAGGCUGAUGUGGACAAACCUGAGAUGCAGGGUGAUCUCAAGACCUCGAAAGUCAACAUUCAGCUGCCAUCCGCUGACGUGGACCUGCAGGCCGGCCAAGUGGGGGUGAAGCUUGCCCAGGGCACACUGUCAGAGGCAGAGCUGCCCACCACGGGUGCAGACCUGAAAGGUCACCUGCCCAAGGUGCAGAUGCCCAGCAUCAAGGUGCCCAAAGUGGAACUAAAGGGCCCCCAGGUGGACAUCAAGGGCCCCCAAAUGGAGGACAAAGUUGCCACAGGUGAGAUUGGAGCCCCUGAGCUGGAAGUGUCGCUCCCCAGAGUGGAGGUGGACGUCCAGGCUCCUGGUGGCAAGCUGCAGGGCGAGGUGGUGGGCAAAGACAGCAAGUUCAAGAUGCCCAAAUUCAAGAUGCCCUCCUUCAGUGUGUCUGCUCCAGGCAAGUCCACGGAGGCCUCUUUCGAGGUGUCUGUGCCAAAGAUGCAGGCUGACGUGGACCUACCCGCCAUCCAGGGCGACCUGAAGACUCCUGAGGUCGGCGUUCAGCUGCCUUCUGCUGACCUGGACCUGCAUGCCGGCCAGGUGGGCAUGAAGGUUGUACAGGGCUCUCUGCCCGAGGCAGAGCUAAUAGCCUCGGGUGCAGACCUGAAAGGACACCUGCCAAAGGUGCAGAUGCCCAGCAUCAAGAUGCCCAAAGUCGACCUGAAGGGGCCCCAGGUGGACAUCAAGGGCCUCAGAGUGCAGGACAAAGUUGCCACAGGUGAGAUUGGAGCCCCUGAGCUGGAAGUGUCACACCCCAGCGUGGAGGUGGACGUCCAGGCUCCUGGUGGCAAGCUGCAGGGCGAGGUGGUGGGCAAAGACAGCAAGUUCAAGAUGCCCAAAUUCAAGAUGCCCUCCUUCAGUGUGUCUGCUCCAGGCAAGUCCACGGAGGCCUCUUUCGAGGUGUCUGUGCCAAAGAUGCAGGCUGACGUGGACCUACCCGCCAUCCAGGGCGACCUGAAGACUCCUGAGGUCGGCGUUCAGCUGCCUUCUGCUGACCUGGACCUGCAUGCCGGCCAGGUGGGCAUGAAGGUUGUACAGGGCUCUCUGCCCGAGGCAGAGCUAAUAGCCUCGGGUGCAGACCUGAAAGGACACCUGCCAAAGGUGCAGAUGCCCAGCAUCAAGAUGCCCAAAGUCGACCUGAAGGGGCCCCAGGUGGACAUCAAGGGCCCCCAAAUGGAGGACAAAGUUGCCACAGGUGAGAUUGGAGCCCCUGAGCUGGAAGUGUCACACCCCAGCGUGGAGGUGGACGUCCAGGCUCCUGGUGGCAAGCUGCAGGGCGAGGUGGUGGGCAAAGACAGCAAGUUCAAGAUGCCCAAAUUCAAGAUGCCCUCCUUCAGUGUGUCUGCUCCAGGCAAGUCCACGGAGGCCUCUUUCGAGGUGUCUGUGCCAAAGAUGCAGGCUGACGUGGACCUACCCGCCAUCCAGGGCGACCUGAAGACUCCUGAGGUCGGCGUUCAGCUGCCUUCUGCUGACCUGGACCUGCAUGCCGGCCAGGUGGGCAUGAAGGUUGUACAGGGCUCUCUGCCCGAGGCAGAGCUAAUAGCCUCGGGUGCAGACCUGAAAGGACACCUGCCAAAGGUGCAGAUGCCCAGCAUCAAGAUGCCCAAAGUCGACCUGAAGGGGCCCCAGGUGGACAUCAAGGGCCCCCAAAUGGAGGACAAAGUUGCCACAGGUGAGAUUGGAGCCCCUGAGCUGGAAGUGUCACACCCCAGCGUGGAGGUGGACGUCCAGGCUCCUGGUGGCAAGCUGCAGGGCGAGGUGGUGGGCAAAGACAGCAAGUUCAAGAUGCCCAAAUUCAAGAUGCCCUCCUUCAGUGUGUCUGCUCCAGGCAAGUCCACGGAGGCCUCUUUCGAGGUGUCUGUGCCAAAGAUGCAGGCUGACGUGGACCUACCCGCCAUCCAGGGCGACCUGAAGACUCCUGAGGUCGGCGUUCAGCUGCCUUCUGCUGACCUGGACCUGCAUGCCGGCCAGGUGGGCAUGAAGGUUGUACAGGGCUCUCUGCCCGAGGCAGAGCUAAUAGCCUCGGGUGCAGACCUGAAAGGACACCUGCCAAAGGUGCAGAUGCCCAGCAUCAAGAUGCCCAAAGUCGACCUGAAGGGGCCCCAGGUGGACAUCAAGGGCCCCCAAAUGGAGGACAAAGUUGCCACAGGUGAGAUUGGAGCCCCUGAGCUGGAAGUGUCACACCCCAGCGUGGAGGUGGACGUCCAGGCUCCUGGUGGCAAGCUGCAGGGCGAGGUGGUGGGCAAAGACAGCAAGUUCAAGAUGCCCAAAUUCAAGAUGCCCUCCUUCAGUGUGUCUGCUCCAGGCAAGUCCACGGAGGCCUCUUUCGAGGUGUCUGUGCCAAAGAUGCAGGCUGACGUGGACCUACCCGCCAUCCAGGGCGACCUGAAGACUCCUGAGGUCGGCGUUCAGCUGCCUUCUGCUGACCUGGACCUGCAUGCCGGCCAGGUGGGCAUGAAGGUUGUACAGGGCUCUCUGCCCGAGGCAGAGCUAAUAGCCUCGGGUGCAGACCUGAAAGGACACCUGCCAAAGGUGCAGAUGCCCAGCAUCAAGAUGCCCAAAGUCGACCUGAAGGGGCCCCAGGUGGACAUCAAGGGCCCCCAAAUGGAGGACAAAGUUGCCACAGGUGAGAUUGGAGCCCCUGAGCUGGAAGUGUCACACCCCAGCGUGGAGGUGGACGUCCAGGCUCCUGGUGGCAAGCUGCAGGGCGAGGUGGUGGGCAAAGACAGCAAGUUCAAGAUGCCCAAAUUCAAGAUGCCCUCCUUCAGUGUGUCUGCUCCAGGCAAGUCCACGGAGGCCUCUUUCGAGGUGUCUGUGCCAAAGAUGCAGGCUGACGUGGACCUACCCGCCAUCCAGGGCGACCUGAAGACUCCUGAGGUCGGCGUUCAGCUGCCUUCUGCUGACCUGGACCUGCAUGCCGGCCAGGUGGGCAUGAAGGUUGUACAGGGCUCUCUGCCCGAGGCAGAGCUAAUAGCCUCGGGUGCAGACCUGAAAGGACACCUGCCAAAGGUGCAGAUGCCCAGCAUCAAGAUGCCCAAAGUCGACCUGAAGGGGCCCCAGGUGGACAUCAAGGGCCCCCAAAUGGAGGACAAAGUUGCCACAGGUGAGAUUGGAGCCCCUGAGCUGGAAGUGUCACACCCCAGCGUGGAGGUGGACGUCCAGGCUCCUGGUGGCAAGCUGCAGGGCGAGGUGGUGGGCAAAGACAGCAAGUUCAAGAUGCCCAAAUUCAAGAUGCCCUCCUUCAGUGUGUCUGCUCCAGGCAAGUCCACGGAGGCCUCUUUCGAGGUGUCUGUGCCAAAGAUGCAGGCUGACGUGGACCUACCCGCCAUCCAGGGCGACCUGAAGACUCCUGAGGUCGGCGUUCAGCUGCCUUCUGCUGACCUGGACCUGCAUGCCGGCCAGGUGGGCAUGAAGGUUGUACAGGGCUCUCUGCCCGAGGCAGAGCUAAUAGCCUCGGGUGCAGACCUGAAAGGACACCUGCCAAAGGUGCAGAUGCCCAGCAUCAAGAUGCCCAAAGUCGACCUGAAGGGGCCCCAGGUGGACAUCAAGGGCCCCCAAAUGGAGGACAAAGUUGCCACAGGUGAGAUUGGAGCCCCUGAGCUGGAAGUGUCACACCCCAGCGUGGAGGUGGACGUCCAGGCUCCUGGUGGCAAGCUGCAGGGCGAGGUGGUGGGCAAAGACAGCAAGUUCAAGAUGCCCAAGUUCAAGAUGCCCUCCUUCGGCGUGUCGGCUCCUGGCAAGUCCAUGGAGGCCUCUCUCGAGGUGUCCAUGCCAAAGUUGGAGGCUGAUGUGGACAAACCCGAGAUGCAGGGUGGUCUCAAGACCUCGAAAGUCAACAUUCAGCUGCCAUCCGCUGACGUGGACCUGCAGGCCGGCCAGGUGGGCGUGAAGCUCGGACAGGGCACGAUGCCCGAGACUGAGCUUCCCGCCACGGGUGCAGGCCUGAAAGGACACCUGCCCGAGGUGCAGAUGCCCAGCAUCAAGAUGCCCAAAGUGGACCUGAAGGGCCCCCAGGUGGACAUCAUGGGCCCCAGAGUGCAGGACAAAGGUGCUACAGUCGAGUUCAGCGCCCCAGAGCUGGAACUGUCACCGCCCAGCGGGGAGGUGGAUGUUCACGCUACUGGUGGCAAGCUAGAGGGCCAGGUGGUGGGCAAAGACAGCAAGUUCAAGAUGCCCAAGUUCAAGAUUCCCUCCUUCGGCGUGUCGGCUCCUGGCAAGUCCAUGGAGGCCUCUCUCGAGGUGUCUGUGCCAAAGGUGGAGUCUGACUUGUAUCUACCCGCCAUCCAGGAUGAGCUGAAGACUCCUGAGGUCGGUGUUCAUCUGACCUCCGCUGAUGUGGGCCUGGUGGGCUUCAAGUUGGCUAAGGGCUUGCUGCCUGAUGCAGAGCUGCUCGCCACAUGUGCAAGGCCGAAAGCACACCAGACCAAGUUGCUGAUGCCCAGCAUCAAGAUGCCCAAAGUGGAAUUGAAGGGCUCCCAUGUGGACAUCAAAAGUCCCAGAGUGGAGGUGCAAGGUGCCGAGGGUGAGUUCGGUGCCCCUGAGCUGGAAGUGUCGCUGCCCACCAUGAAGCUGGACGUCCUGACUGCCGGCGCCCAGCUGGAGGCAGAGGUGGAAACCAAGGACAGCAAGCUGCACAUUUCUCCUCUCAAUCUUCCGUCUCUUAGUCUUCAUACGAGUCAUGCUGUUUUAUCAUCUAGAAAUUUCAUGGAAAAUCUGAAGUUUCCUGGCAUGAGUUAUACACUGGCACCUGGAGACCCAGGAAUGGCUCCUGACGAGUGUGCUUCUGGUGAUCUCACUGAAUCUGGUGUGAGUUAUCCCUUUGGUAAAGAUGGAAAAGCGUGUAAGUCCAAGCAGCCUCCUGUCGAGAAGCGUCAAGUGCAAUUGUGUCAUCGGAAAGCACUGGAGGGCGUUCCUGGCCCUGGAGAGGCCCCUUCGUCCUCCCACCUGUCUGGCCUCAGUCUUGCCACGUCACCGGAAGCAGCUCUGCCAGGCCUGGACACAGCCCUGCAGGUGCCCAGGCUCGCCCUCUCGGGGCUCCCGUCCCUCAGCACGGGCACCGCUGACCUCACUCGUGUUGGGGCAGGGCCUUCUGUCCUCCCUCCCAGUGACGGUGUGAUGGUUACCCAGUUCCAGGUUCCUAUGCUCAGCCCUGUCUUCACCCCUGGAGCCCCCCAGGAUGCCACUUCUGGGUCCCCAGCCAGUGCUCUUUUUGCAGGAGUGCAGUGCUCUGUGGGCCACCAGGCUGAGCAGGGUCCUCUGCCCAUUCCCCCUGGCCGAGGCUUUCAUCCCAAGAGUCCUCUGUCUCCCAGGGUUCAGAGUCGUGUGACUUUCCCUAUGUUCCAUAAACCACGCUUCGUGCUUUCUGUUCCACUGGAAGUGGCUCCUGAGGCAGACUCUGGGUCCGCAGACUGGAGCUUUGUCCCACUUCUCAGCCAGGAGCCCAGGCAGGACUGUAUCCAUGCAGCGAAGGUAGCCCAGCUGCCAGUCUCCCAGCCACCAUCCACGGCUGUCCCUGCGUCUCAGGUGGUGCCAGAACUCCUGGGCCCAGCUGCAGGACGAGCUGCUGCCGGGGUUGCUGAGCAGGAGGGGAAGGGGAGUCCCUCCAAAACACCUCGCUUCAAGCUGCCGGUGUUCAGCUGGUCGCCAAAGAAGGAGGCCAGGCCCAGAGAGGACAGCACGUGCCACCUGGAAGACCCCACAGGGAGCCUGGCCAUGGGUCUGGAUCAUGAGGACCCCCACCCUGGGGCUCAGGACUCCCGAGUGCAGUCACACAUGGCCCUGACUCCAGAGAGGGAAGGCGACUCGGGGAGGACCAGGAAGGCUGGCUUUGUCCUACCGAGACUGGCCCUUCCCAAGCUAAAGGCGUCCAAGGGCCCAGCAGGCCUGAGGCCACCAGGAGACGCAGACGCUGUGCUUUGUAGCAGUACAGCUGCAGGUGACUGUGGAGCCACAGAGAGGGGUGGCAGCGAGGGUGGUGUAGGCAGCACAGGCCUUCCUGGAGGACCCCAUGAAGAAGGGGAUGUGACCCUCCAGCUGCCACAGACCUCCAGCCCCUGGGUGGGAUCUGCCAAACUGGAUCUUGGGUCUUUCCCGGCCGAGGAGGGGGCAAGCCAGUGUGAUGCUGAUCCCAGGUGUGACUCGGCAGUGGGAGGAGGCAGCGAAGGAUUUGGGCUCCGGGACAUCUCAGCCAGGCAGCCCCAGGGGGAAGGGACAGCCCCCAACAUAGAAGGCCCCCUGAAGGCACCCCUAGGACAUGCAGACAGAGUUCCCUCCCUGGGUAGCCCCGAGGAGGCCCCCACUGCUGGGGGGCCCAUAGCUGGUUCACAGGAGCGCUGGUUCAGAAUGCCCAGGCUCCAUAUGCCUGGCUUCAGGCGGCUGUCAUCCAAGGAGCGAGGCGGGGCCCGGGGACAGGAUGUGGCUCAGGUGCACAUGCCAGUGGCCACUGCACCCGCAGAGGCAGCAGCAGUCGCCAGUGUCCUGGUGUCCUGGGUUCCUGGGUCAGAGGUGGAGGCCAGUGUGUCCCUGAAGCCUCCAGAUGUAGAGGCAGCGGUGACAGCUUCUGGGAGCGCAUCCCGUGCAGAUGUUCUAAAGCGUGAUCUGGACUGCUCAGGCUUGAAGCGGCAUCCCCCCUCCCUGAGGAGGUCUGGAGGGGACCAGCCCGGCUCCAAGGUCCAGGUCCAUCCAGCUGAAGGCUCCUUCCCCCCUCAGAAGCCCAGUGGGGAGCCCUCAGAAGCCCAGGCUCCUGCAGCAGAGCGGCCCGACCUCAUGGAGGCAGAAGAGGGAGCAGAGCUGCGGCCCUCUGGGUCAGAAGGACCUGUGCCACUGAGGGUGUCCAGCACUGACAUGCCAUCCCAGGUCUCCGUGCUGGAUACGCGGCGGCUGUGGGAAGACUCUGUGCUCACUGUCACAUUCCCCAAGCUCAGAGUGCCCAUGUUCUCUUUCCCCGCCCCGGGGGCAGAGAUGGACAUCUUCUUCCCUGUGGUGAGGGACGUGAGUGAAGCAGAGGCAGGUGUGGACCCAGGGCCGGGGCUCUGGGGUGCCAGCCUCCUGAGGGCAGGUGCCGAGGAGCCCAGGGAGCAGCCUAUGGGCCCCAGCCGCCCCUUGGAAGGUUCCCCAGUGUCCAAAGUGAAGGUGCACAUCCAGGGAGUGCAGGCUGAGAGUCGUGAGGUCCUGGUCUGCAGCCAGGUGAGGCCAGAGCGAGUGGAGCACAUGGCCCCCGAGGCCUUCUCCACACAGACUGUGUGGGCGUCAGAGAUCCCCGCAUCCACCGUGCAGACACCUUCAUACGGAUUUUCUCUGCUGAAGCUGAAGACCCUAGGGCCUCCUGCUCAGGCUCCAGACUCCAGGGCACCGGAGGGCUCUGCCGCACCCACAGCAGACUCCCUCCCUGAAGACGGCGCCCCUGAUGCCACAGAGCCAUUUGAGGUGAUAGCGGGCAGCACCAGCCUCCCUGGGCUGCAGACGCUUGGGUCUGACGACCCUGCCAGGCCUCCACUUGCAGGCAGCGGCUCUGAUGAUGAUGAUGAGCCUGCAGAAAUCCUAGAAUUUCUCCCUGAGGACAGCAGUGGGGCUUCAGCACAGCUGGCGGCCGAAGACCAAGUUCCAAAAGGAAGGCCAGAAGGAAAAAAGCCUUCGGGUCUGUUGUGGUCCUGGCUUCCGAACAUCGGGUUCUCCUCCAUCAGUGAGACCAAUGCCGGCUCCAGAGAUGAUGCCCAAAGAUCUGUUCCUGUCCUGACCCAGCCGGGGCCUUGGCCAGACUUGGAACCACCCAAGAGGCAAGAGAGGGUGGGCUGGUUCCGGUUUCCCAAAUUAGGCUUCUCCUCCUCGCCUGCUGAGAAGACCAAAAGCACAGAGGAAGAGACAGCCCUGGCCGAGCAGAAGCUCUGGGAAGAAAGUGUGACCUUCUUCGAUGCCCGGGAAAGCUUCUCCCCUGAGGAGGAGGAGAGGGGCAGCAAACCAGCCGAGAUGGCCCCGGGCACCCCAGACAUGGUGGCGUCCUCGGCGAGAACAGAGCUGAUCCUGCUGGAGCCUGAUGCCCCCGCUGGCGAGGAAUCUGGACCCAGGCCCGCGGGCAAAUGAAGGCCAGACAGGUGCAACGUCAGGGCAGAGGCCAGAGCAGCAUGGAGACCCCAUCCCGGCCCCACAUGGCACCCCUGAUUCACAAAGGUGGACGAAGCAGAACUUGGAGAGAACCUCCACACCUCACACUGCCCAGCUCCCGCCAGGCUGUGGAGGCAGAGAAGACACCAGACUCCUUGAAGAGCAGAUCCAGUCGUCCACAUGUUGAGGGCAUCCUGCUAUUCCUCCAGGGUGCUCAUCAUUGAACCCAGAACCCAGCUGUGUACACCCUCCAGCCAGGCCUGGCUGGCGCUGGCCCAGUGCCCCCUGGUGGCAAUAAAGGAAGCAGUGCAUCCCAGUGGAAAGGCUGCUGUGCUCUUUGUUCUGGGGCCCAAACUCCCUGUGCUCGCUUCCCCCACACUCCUGGUCCUGGGUGCUGU